AGAGUUUGAUCCUGGCUCAGGAUGAACGCUGGCGGCGUGCUUAAUACAUGCAAGUCGAACGGAGACAGUAGCAAUAUUGUCUUAGUGGCGAACGGGUGAGUAACGCGUUGGUGACCUGCCCCGAAGAGGGGGAUAACAGUUCGAAAGGACUGCUAAUACCCCAUGUGGUCAUUAGGAUUAGAUGCCUUUUGACUAAACGGAUUUAUUCGCUUCGGGAGGGGCCUGCGUCCCAUCAGCUAGUUGGUAAGGUAAUGGCUUACCAAGGCGAUGACGGGUAGGGGACCUGAGAGGGUGGCCCCCCACAAUGGAACUGAAACACGGUCCAUACACCUACGGGUGGCAGCAGUAGGGAAUAUUGGUAAUGUGCGAAAGUGCGAACCAGCAACGCCGCGUGUGCGAUGAAGGCCUUCGGGUUGUAAAGCACUUUUUGAGGGGAUGAGGAAGGACAGUACCCUCAGAAUAAGCCUCGGCUAACUACGUGCCAGCAGCCGCGGUAAAACGUAGGAGGCGAGCGUUAUCCGGAUUUACUGGGCGUAAAGCGUGUGUAGGCGGUUUGAUAAGUUGGAUGUGAAAGCUCCUGGCUUAACUGGGAGAGGUCGUUCAAAACUAUCAGACUUGAGAGUGGUAGAGGGAGGUGGAAUUCCGGGUGUAGUGGUGAAAUGCGUAGAUAUCCGGAGGAACACCAGUGGCGAAAGCGGCCUCCUGGCCCAUUUCUGACGCUCAGACACGAAAGCUAAGGUAGCAAACGGGAUUAGAUACCCCGGUAGU
rnacentral:rRNA from 1 species